AGAACGGAUCAAGCGUUCGAGAGUUAGGACUGGGAAAUGUGAGACGUACUUUCAUGUAUAUAUUUCUGAUAUUAUUUUUUCGUCUUGUAAACGUGACGUAUUUUCCUUAGUUUUUCUCUAGGAAACACAGGAACGACACUGCUUAUAUUGAAGCACAGUGUGCGAAUGACCUUCUACGCUCGGAACUGUUAUCACCAUUCGGGAAUAAAUCAGGUAAGAACAGAUUGUGUGUGGCACUUCUCCGCAUGUGGACUAGAGUAGAUCUAGGAACAUCAGACAAGAAGACACGUGCGUGAAACCCUGCGGACAGCCCAUAUUUUUUAUGAGCACUGUAACUAUCCAAGCUUCACUCUCGACGGUGACAGAGAAAUGCCGGAUGCUAUACCAUCCAGAGCCAAGAACACGGGAACGGCUGAAAGAGAGCCUCCCCGGCAGUAUGGGAAACUCUCACAGCAGACCAGCUCUGUCCUUUAGCUAUAUCAUGCUAUUUCAGGGAACAAAGACUACUUGUUAACACUGCUGCACGAAAAAAUUAAUGUAUUUUAUGAUUGCAAAAUGAACACCUAAAAAGAGAAAACAUUGCGUUCACGUGUUUGUUUUGUUGCGUCUUGCGUAUUUAUACUAACGAGUACAGAGAAUUAGAGGCGUUUAAUUAUGUUUAACUUGUGAAUUACGCGCAUAUCGCAUAUAUUAAUUGGCAACGCGAGUUAAACGCCUCUAAUAAACUGUAUAUCGUUGACCUGAAAACGCAACACGCAGCAAAAAAAGAAAAACCUGAUGUGUUUUUAAUACAAAAAAUAAUAAAAAAAACGUCCGCACCCGACCGAUGGCCAACGGCAAAGCGGUGCUUACGAAAUAUCGGGCCGUAGUCGGCCCGCAUGCAGUGUGCACUCGGCCACGUCGGCCACAGUGGUCGGGCCUAAGUCACUUGCCGAUGGUCGGCGGACGUGAGACCAGUGUCAAUCCCCGAUACCGGCCCUAC